GUGAAUCAUCGAAUCUUUGAACGCAUAUUGCGCCCUCUGGUAUUCCGGGGGGCACACCUGUUCGAGCGCCAUUUCGACCCUCAAGCAUAGCUUGGUGUUGGGUAAGGCCCCCCUUAGGGGGGACCCACCCGUAACCCGUAGGCGGCAACCGCCCGCGCCCCCAGCGUAGCAAGCUAACGCACUCGCUCGGGGACGGCGUGUUGCUAGGCCUUAACUAUAACCUCAAAGGUUUGGCCUCGGAUCAGGUGGGGAUACCCGCUGAACUUAAGCAUAUCAAUAAGCGGAGGA
rnacentral:misc_RNA from 1 species